rnacentral:rRNA from 1 species
AUGAACGCUGGCGGCGUGCCUAAUACCUGCCAGUCGCGCGAACAGACGAGGAGCUUGCUCCUCUGACGUUAGCGGCGGACGGGUGAGUAACACGCGGAUAACCUACCUAUAAGACUGGGAUAACUUCGGGAAACCGGAGCUAAUACCGGAUAAUAUAUUGAACCGCAUGGUUCAAUAGUGAAAGACGGUUUUGCUGUCACUUAUAGAUGGAUCCGCGCCGCAUUAGCUAGUUGGUAAGGUAACGGCUUACCAAGGCAACGAUGCGUAGCCGACCUGAGAGGGUGAUCGGCCACACUGGAACUGAGACACGGUCCAGACUCCUACGGGAGGCAGCAGUAGGGAAUCUUCCGCAAUGGGCGAAAGCCUGACGGAGCAACGCCGCGUGAGUGAUGAAGGUCUUCGGAUCGUAAAACUCUGUUAUUAGGGAAGAACAAAUGUGUAAGUAACUAUGCACGUCUUGACGGUACCUAAUCAGAAAGCCACGGCUAACUACGUG